AACGUAGGAGGCAAGCGUUAUCCGGAUUUAUUGGGCGUAAAGCGCAUGCAGGUGGUUUCGUAAGUCGGAUGUGAAAGCCUCUGGCUUAACUGGAGGAGGUCGUUCGAUACUGCGAAACUGGAGGUCGGAAGAGGGAGGCGGAAUUCCCGGUGUAGUGGUGGAAUGCGUAGAUAUCGGGAGGAACACCAGUGGCGAAGGCGGCUUCCUGGUCCGUACCUGACGCUAAGAUGCGAAAGCGUGGGGAGCGAACGGGAUUAGAUACCCCGGUAGUCCACGCUGUAAACGAUGGGUACUGGGUAUUGGUGGUAUUGACCCCAUCAGUGCCGAAGCUAACGCGUUAAGUACCCCGCCUGGGGACUACGGCCGCAAGGUUA
rnacentral:rRNA from 1 species